UGUAAUGCAUUGAUCUUCUUCUUUUGUAAUACAUCCUUAGCUUAUUCCUUCUUUGAUUUGUAGUAGUUAUACUUUCUAGGACAGGAUAAGUGGUUAGUACUGUUGGAGUGUUUCAUGUGCUAAUUUGAACUACUGUUGGGUUUGUUAUCAUCAGCUCUAGUUGCAAUUUUGAUUCGUAGGUCUUGCAUUUGGUAUAUUGUAGUUACAAUUUCUUUAGACCUUACACAUGUGAAAGUUCAAUUGAUUUUGCAUUUGUUCAGGGCAUCUUUGUCUCAUGAUAUUAGCUUUUCCUUGUUUAUUUGGCCCAGGAAUCCAUAGUUUAUACAAAUUAUAUAUUUGCAGGUUCUCACAAUUUCAUGAUUAAAGAUUUCAGCUUUAGACUUGUAAAUGCAUCUUUUAACUACUUUUCCUUUUGUUCUCCACGCAUUGUCGUUUUAGGGGAACUUCUAUCUUUUACGAUUUAAGGGAGGUACUAUAGUCUAUUGUCAUAUGCGAUGAGAUUAAACAGAUUGUGGCCUUGUUUUUUGAAAAAAAAUAGCUGCAAUGGUUCACUUUUUCACGAUCACCUAUUGGUCAUAUAGGUGAUCAUGAAGGCAUGAAGUAUUCUGAAAAAGCUGACAUUGAUUAGGGAAUAGUCAAGUCAUUCUCAAAUCCCUGAUGCGCUUCUUUCUGGUAUGAAUUAUUUAGAUUUUGAUUGGUGAUGUAUUAAGCAACGGUGCAGCGACACAUGCAGAAAUUUAUAGAGCAAUGUUGCACCUCAUUUUUCAUGUAAAAAACAAAACUAACAAUAUGAUGAAGGGGGAUCAUGGGAACAGAGUUGGUGAACAACAAUAUAGUUUAUCAACAAGGGAUCACGUAUCCUUUAGCUUGCCAUAGCAUUUUCACUAAUUUCCUUUGCUUUAGUGAAUCAUUGUAAUUGAUUGUAGGCUAUUUAGUCAACUUUGAUUGAAUGAAAAAGGCGAGCAAGAAUUAAGUCACAUUUUCCCUCUGUCAAAUUCUCCUUCUUUCUUGAGUUCUGCUAUACUCUAAAUAGCAACUUUCUGAGUCUUGUCACCUUCCCAUUGUUUGAUGAGUUUAUUGCAUUUUAUAGACUACAGCUUUACAUGUUUGAUCAAACUAUCUAAGGCAUAAAAAAACAAUAAUUUAGGAAGAAUCCUUGAUUCAUACAUUGUGUCACAUAUAUACCAAGCAAAGAGCAAAAAAAUUCCAGGUUCCUUCUCUUUUGAAAUCACAAACAGGUAUUAUGAAGUAAUGACAAUUCAUUGUAAUAUAAUAGACAGUGUCCAAACAGUGCGUACAAAACAAUGCAUACAAAACAUUAAGAAAGAAUGAAUGAUAAGAACACAAACUCUCAAGGAUCAACCAAUCCCCUUUGUCUAUUUCACAAAAACAACAUAAGUCAAGGCCAUUAAAAAAAAGAGCUUAUGUAACAUUGCAAGGGGUUCUAUAUCAUCCUUAAAAAAAACUCUAAAUUUUCUAAAAUCAAAUCCUAAUGAAUUGAAGAUAGUUCAAAAAGGUUUGUUAUGAUUUGUUCACUAUUUUCAUUGAAAUUUUGAUUUUUAAUUUUUUAUUAUGAUUUGUUCUCUUUCCUAUAAGCAUUUCAAUCAUUCCAACAAAAAAAAAAGAUAAAGUAAAACAAAAACCUUAUGAUGACACGUUCAUGGCAGGUUGACAACGGCGACGACCAGUGGUGAAUGGAAAGCUUAUGAUGAUGGUGGUGGGUUUUGUUUUGUUUUAAAGUGGAAGGAAGAAGAAGGGCAUGUGAUUUUGUUUUCUCCUCUCACAAUUUUUAUUUAUUUUUUGUUAUUUUAUUUUAGUUUUUUUUUUCUUUUCAAAAAGGUAUCACUUGACACACUUUGAUUGGCUAAUGGUACACGACACUGGUGCCUUAAUGGUACGCAAACAAGUGAAGUCUGGUCGAAUCACUCCUUCAAAAGGAGCCAAAUGCACAUGUCAUUGACCAAUCAGGUGGUGCCACAUGACACACCUAUUUUUUAUAAUAAAAAACAGUAAAUGGUCACUUUGGUCCACGACCCUGUACCUCGUUGUCACAAUGGUCAUGACUCAGGAUUUAAUGCAACACAACAUCUGUUUGUCAAAGCGGCAAAACAAGCUCAAUCACACGUUUGAGUUGAUGUUGCUAAUUGUAGCUUCCUAAAAAUCAAGUUGGUUUUGCAUUGGGACGCGAUAAAGAGACAAAAAACGCUGAUCUACUCACAGCAAUAGUCGAUUUAAUGUAAAAUAGUCCCUACAUAUGUAUAUAUGUUAUUGGUUUAAUCCAUGACGUUGAAAAUUUCUUGGCUUAAUAGCAGUUUUAGCCCCCUAACUUUUCGAAAGUUGUGAUUUUGGCAUCCGAAGAAAAAAAACUACAAAACCGCCCCUAAAUUUUGCAUUUGUGGCAGUUUUGGCCCCCCAAGGCCAAAUUUGACUCAGUCUACGCUGACAUGGCACCCUAAUUGAGGUGCCACGUGUUUUUUUUUUUUACCAAAAAUUGGUCUUGGGGGGCCAAAAUUGCUACAGUUACAAAACUUAGGGGACGGUUUUGUAGUUUUUUUCUUAGGGGGUCAAAAUCACAACUUCUUGAAAGUUAGGGGGCCAAAACUGCUAUUAAGCCAAAUUUCUUUUUAACAACCCAAAACAUUUAUCACCUCAUCAAUUAAUUUUUUUUUUAGGCUUAAUUGCACUUUUGGCCCUCUAUCUUUUUAAAAGUUGCGAUUUUAGCUCCCUAACUAAUUAAAAUACAAAACAACCCUCUAUGUAUUGGAUAGGGGCCAAAAGUAGCCUUGUGGACCAAAACUGCCAAAGAUCCAAUACAUAGGGGGCUGUUUUGUAUUCAAAUUACUCACAAACACUCAGAUUCCUUACCACUACCACCACCACUUCAAACCCAUUCAUCGUAUCCUACCUCAUUGACAAAUUCGGUUUCUCACAUGGAUUUGCACUCAAAGCUUCCAAAGAGCUUUAUUUCAAAACCUCACAAAAACCUGAUUCAGUUCUCUACUUCUUCAAAAAUCACAGUUUCACCGACUCAGACUUACGCAGUAUCAUCAAAAGGGUACCAUGGAUUCUUUCCUGCAAUACCCACAAAACGAUUCUCCCAAAGUUUCAAUUUUUACUCUCCAAAGGCGCUUCUACUUCUGACAUUGUCCACAUGGUUAGAGGUAACCCUAGGUUCUUGGAAUUAAGCUUGAAGAAUCAUCAAAUUAAGUUUGAAUUUUUUCUAUCCAAAGGUGCUUCUUCAUCUCAUAUUGUUUCAUUGUUAACUACAUACCCUCAAAUUUUACAAACUAGCUUUGAGAAUCGAAUAAUCCCUCUUUUUAAAUUGCUAACAAGGUUCUUUAAAACUAACAAGGAUACUAUUGUUUGCUUAAUUCAACAUUCGAAAUGGGUUACUAGUCAUCCCCAUCACCUUAUUGUGGCUAGUAUCAAUCUGAUUUCUGAUUUUGGAGUUUCUGAUUCUGUCAUUGCUAGAUUGCUUCAAAAUAAGCCAUCUAUAUUUGGUUCAAAGGAUUUGAUUAAGUCAUUGGAGGAAGUUAAGAGUUUAGGGUUUGAUCCUUCAACAGCUUCUUUUGGGGUUGCUUUGGUAGCCAAGAAAGGUAUGAGUAAAAAACUUUGGGAUGAGAAAGUUGACACCUUUAAGAAAUGGGGUUGGUCUGAUGAAAAUAUUGUUGAAGCAUUUAGGAGUCAACCUAAUUUAAUGUUGGUUUCAAUUGAUAAGAUUAAUUUGGUGAUGAGUUUUUGGGUCAAUCAAUUGGAUUGGAAUUCAUUGGAACUUGCUAAAUUUCCAAAUAUGUUUUGUUAUAGUUUACAUAAAAGGAUCAUUCCAAGAGCCUCAGUUUGGCAAUUUCUUUUGAUAAAAGGUUUGCGACAAAAGAAUGCAAGCUUAGUUACACCAUUUACAUGUUCUGAGAAUUCGUUCUUGAACAAGUUUGUUUUCAGCUUUAAGGAGGAGUCUGAUUAUCUCUUAAAGCUGCAUGAGGAAAAAAUGAAAUUUGCAAAUACAAAGAACAUUGGCAUGCCAUCCACCAAAUGUGUAAGAUUUUCAUUUUCUUUUGUAAUAUAACCUUAUCUUGUUCCUUCUUUGAUUUGAAGUACUAUUCUUUCUAGGCCAGGAUAAGGGGUUGGUAUUGUUGGCUUGUUUCAUUUACUAAUUUGAAAUACUGUUAUUUUUUCGUUAUAAUCAAUUUUAGUUACAAUUUCGAUGCAUAGGUCUUCAUUUUGUAUAUUGUAGUUACAAUUUCUUUAGACCUUGUACUGUUGUACAUGUGAAAGUUCAAAUGGUCUUGCAUUUGGUCUGAGAUUGCUUGACUCAUGGUGUUAGUUCUUGUUUAUUUGGCCCAAGAAUCCAUAGUGUAUACAAAUUACAUAUGCAGAUUCUCCAAUCUCAAUUUCAUGAUUAUAGCUUUCAUCUUUAGACUUGUAAAUGCAUCCUUUAACUACUUUUGCUUUUGUUCUGUACACAUUGUCAUUUUAAGGGAACUUCUAUCGUUUAAGAUUUAUGGGAGUUACUAUUGUAUAUUGCUCAUAUAGUCAUAUGCAAUGAGAUUAAACAGAUUUGUGGUCUUUUUUAAACCAAUCACAGGUUAACUCUCAUCCGAUCUGCUUGUUGGGUCGCUCAGAGAGGAAGGAAGCAAUCUGUUUAGAAAGUGGAGGCCACUAACUCACUAAGAGCCUAGUUUAUGAUUUACUUAAAGCAUGAUUUGUAAAGAGGUUAAUGGAAAAUGUGUAAACAGUCACAGGUCAGAGUCCUAGGUGAAGAUGUUCUGCUGGUUGCCAUCGAACCAGUGCUUGCCCAUGGUAUGAAAAACUGAUGGAAAUUGUCAUUGAUUGGGGAUUUCAUAUAUCAAUUGGAUCUAAAUAUAGACGGCAAUAGUCAAAUCCUUCUCUAAUCCCUGAUGUUGUUCUUCCUGGUACUCCAUACUUCAAUUCAUUGACUGUAGUCAUCGAAGAGGAAGAGGAUAUGGACUCCGGCGGCAAGGGGAAAAAUUUCUUGGGCAAAACAAGAUAAGUUAUAUAAUGAAAAUACGACUAAUUUAUGUUAUCACUGGUAUUUUUUUUCAAUGUUGUUAUCAGCCCAUCACCAAUUUUUUAUUAAAAUUUCGAGAAAUUUUAGUGUAUAAAAUAUUUAGAUUUUUAUUAGGUAAUGUAUGAAAGACAUAGUUUUUGAUAGAACACUAUGGCAUCGUUUGAUUCAUGUAGCCGAUGCAACUUAGUGGGAUAAGGCUUGGUUGUUGUUGUUGUUGUUGUGUUGAUGUUUGAAACAAGGGUGCAGCAUUACAUGCAGAAACGUAAAGACCAAUGUUGCGCCUCAUUUGACAUGUAAAAAACAAAACCAACAAAAUGAUGAAGGGGGAUCAUGGGAACAGGGUUGAUGAACAACAAUAUAUUUAUCAACAACGGAUCACGUUUCCUCUAGCUUGCCAUAUCAUUUUCACUAAUUUCCUUCGCUUUACAUUCUGUUAGAACGGAUUUGUCAUUUUCCCUUGCUGCAAUUUGAUUCCAUUUUUGUGUUAUUCAUAUCAUGCGGAUCAGUUGACAUCUGGCUGUGAUCAUUGUAAUUGAUUGAAGACUAUUUAAUUUAGCCAACUUUGAUUGAACGAAAAAGGCAAGCAAGAAUUAAGUCACAUUUUCCCUCUGUCAAAUUCUCUUUCUGUCUGGAGUUCUGUGUCUUAUCACCUUCCCGUUGUAUGAUGGGUUUUGGUUGAUUGCAUUUUAAAGAGUACAGCUUUACAUGUUACAUGUUAAAGUGAAAACACGAUAUUAUGUGCAUACCAUGUAGUUGAUUGUGCAGUUUGUAUAUUUCUGAUAUAUUAUACGAUUAGAUUUUUCACAGGUUAUAUGUUUGCUUUUGACUUGUUGAAUGCAUCUUUACCAAAUUUCAGUUUGUAAAUCUCUAAAAACUUAAAAGAGUUGUUUCUGUUAUACAUUUUGGAGGGACUGUGCAUGUAAUAAGACAAGUAUAUUAGCAUUAUAGUUGAUUGAAAGUUUGUAUGGUUAUUUGUUCAAAUUUCACUUUAUAUGAAAACCUUAGCUUGGGAGUUCAAUUGAGAACUCAAAUUGAAUCCUAUUGUAAAAGAUGCAGAAAUUGUUAUAAUGAGGUCUAUAAUCAAGUUGAAUCAAGUGAACAUUCACAAAUUGAAGUUGAAACCUUUAAAACCAAAAAAGGCUAAGUGACAAUUGAUACUUGUUUGAUAGUGCAUGAUCAUGCUUUUAGAUUAGUUAUUAAUUCUCAUAAUUCUCUCUCUUUGACGCUGGGAGGGUGUUUGUUCGUUUUCUUUGUUACAUAAAAGUUAAUGGGUUUAUAAAACUAAGCAAACCUUCUGAUUUAUUUAACUUAUGAGAAACCUAUGAGUCUGAGUUCAAAUUUCACUGUCAAUGUGAGAGUAUGAUAAGUCAAUAAUUAGUUGGUUUUAAGUGUUUAUUUUAUUAAGAUUUUAUGUGUUUUUAAUUACUUUAUAGAACUUUACUACUUCAAUUUGGUUGUUAUUUAAUUUCAGGAACAAAUAUGGUGAAAGAUUGAGUCUUGGAGCAAAAGAAAGGUUUUUGGAGCAUGGUUAAGGAAUGGAAGGAUCUGGAGCAUGAUUUGGGUCGAUUGAGACCAAAAAUAUGAAGAUCCUAUGCAAAAAUAUCAGGCACAGUCGUGUCUGACAAAGACCAGACCGUGCUCCCAAUGGCUGUUCAAACGUGCAUAUUCCAGGGAGGUUGGCACGGUCCGUGCCUGCACAAGCACGGUCGUGCGCGACCUCCAGCUCCCGUUUGCUGCUUUUGCCUUGAAGACAGGCAUGGUCCGCUGCUAUUUUGUUAUAUUUUUAGACCUAAAAGCCCAUGGGUUGCUUGCUAUGUAAUUUUUAUGCCUUUUUUUAGGGCUUAAGUUAGCUUUUAGGCUAUAAAUAGAGCAGCCACCAUACCUUAUGAUUCAUCUUUUGUUCUUGGGAAUUUUAUGUGACAACUAUUUCAUUAAUAAAAGUUCUUACUUUUCUUAUUUUUUUA
rnacentral:lncRNA from 1 species